ACUUUUUGAAAAGUACGUGUGAGUUGUUGCCUGAUAGGUGCUUUGAGUUCAGAUGUUCAUCUUCAUCUACGAUUUUGCGUGCAGACAGUUCUGUUCAAAAGGAUGAGUUGCCUCUUCUUCAUGCAUUUCUCUCUCAAAAAGCAAUGAAUUUUCCAUUGAAACUGAAAAACUGAAGUUCAGUUACUACAUGAUGUGAUAGCUUUCUAAUCUCUGAGCAGACUGCACUUCAGCUGGCUGUUAAAAGGAGGUGGGUGCAUUCACAAAGAACAAGGCAGGAGCCAACUGUGUGUGCUCUGAGUCUGAGCUUGAGUCUUCCCCAUUUGCUGCCUUCAGAAGCCGGCUUUAUCUGUAUGUACAAAGAGGCCAAAGCCAUGACAUGCUGCGGUUUCAAGUUCUAAGACAGCAUCCAACGGUCACCAAGGUGUUCACGCCAGUGCAGAGUGUUUUCCCACGUGCUGAGCUCUGUGCCCCAGUGCCGGAGAACAUCGGAAUUGAGACAGAUACGCACGUAAAACCGGAAGAAACUUUCUAGCUAUGGUGCUGUGGAUAAGCGAGUCAGCUCCUUGCUGAGCCUCAUUUGCUUUAUGUGUAACCUGAGAGUUCCAGCCUACCUGACAGAAUUGCGAAGGAUGAAGGAGCAAGCACACGAAGAAACCCUUGUGGGGCGCUUCUAUGAGCAGGUCUGCUGGAGAUACCUCUUCGAAACCUCAAGAUCACAGCGGCAAAGGACUCGUUAGUUCUCUCCGAGGAGACAGCCUUACACCAGGCACUAUUAUUAGUAUCUCUGAUUUGGGGUUCUGAACUCAUAUGU